rnacentral:rRNA from 1 species
AUACAUCCGGUGUUCCAUGUUUCCCAACUAAAGCCCUUCACACCCAACUAUACACCGGUGUUCUCUGAACUGCCUGCAACUGCAGACCUGUCGGCAGUCGAGUCCCAGCCUGUGGAGAUACGGGACCGGCGAAUGAUGAAGAAGGGCGACGCGCUGGUGGUUCAGAUUCAGGUGGCAUGGAACACCACACCCCCAUCAACAACCUGGGAAGACUAUGAGGUUCUUCGACGGUGCAACCCGCAAGCAGUCAUCUGGAACGACAACAAUUCCAACAAGGAGGCCGUUUCUCAAGGAGGGGAGAAUGUCACAGCGGUGGUACACACCACCGUGUGA